GUCGCAAGACCAAAGUGGGGGACCUUCGGGCCUCAUGCCAUCAGAUGUGCCCAGAUGGGAUUAGCUAGUAGGUGGGGUAACGGCUCACCUAGGCGACGAUCCCUAGCUGGUCUGAGAGGAUGACCAGCCACACUGGAACUGAGACACGGUCCAGACUCCUACGGGAGGCAGCAGUGGGGAAUAUUGCACAAUGGGCGCAAGCCUGAUGCAGCCAUGCCGCGUGUGUGAAGAAGGCCUUCGGGUUGUAAAGCACUUUCAGCGGGGAGGAAGGCGGUAAGGUUAAUAACCUUGUCGAUUGACGUUACCCGCAGAAGAAGCACCGGCUAACUCCGUGCCAGCAGCCGCGGUAAUACGGAGGGUGCAAGCGUUAAUCGGAAUUACUGGGCGUAAAGCGCACGCAGGCGGUCUGUCAAGUCGGAUGUGAAAUCCCCGGGCUCAACCUGGGAACUGCAUUCGAAACUGGCAGGCUAGAGUCUUGUAGAGGGGGGUAGAAUUCCAGGUGUAGCGGUGAAAUGCGUAGAGAUCUGGAGGAAUACCGGUGGCGAAGGCGGCCCCCUGGACAAAGACUGACGCUCAGGUGCGAAAGCGUGGGGAGCAAACAGGAUUAGAUACCCUGGUAGUCCACGCCGUAAACGAUGUCGAUUUGGAGGUUGUGCCCUUGAGGCGUGGCUUCCGGAGCUAACGCGUUAAAUCGACCGCCUGGGGAGUACGGCCGCAAGGUUAAAACUCAAAUGAAUUGACGGGGGCCCGCACAAGCGGUGGAGCAUGUGGUUUAAUUCGAUGCAACGCGAAGAACCUUACCUGGUCUUGACAUCCACAGAACUUUCCAGAGAUGGAUUGGUGCCUUCGGGAACUGUGAGACAGGUGCUGCAUGGCUGUCGUCAGCUCGUGUUGUGAAAUGUUGGGUUAAGUCCCGCAACGAGCGCAACCCUUAUCCUUUGUUGCCAGCGGUU
rnacentral:rRNA from 1 species